CCGCCCGUAGCUCAGCUGGUAGAGCAACUCGCUCUUAACGAGAUGGUCCCAGGUUCGAUCCCUGGCGGGCGGA
rnacentral:tRNA from 1 species